AGGGUGUAAACGCUGCGGGCUUGGUGUUGGGGGUCCUUUGAGGGCGCCCAGUGCCGGAGAGAAGUUGUUAAGCCUGCUGCUUGGGGAGUACGCCCGCAAGGAUGAAACUUAAAGGAAUUGGCGGGGGGAGCACAACAACGGGUGGAGCUUGCGGUUUAAUUGGAUUCAACGCCGGAAAUCUUACCGGGACCGACAGCAACAUGAAGGCCAAGCUGAAGACUUUGCCGGAUUAGCUGAGAGGUGGUGCAUGGCGUAGUCGUGU
rnacentral:rRNA from 1 species